AUUAAGGGCUUCAACACCCUAAAGGUACCAAAUCUCUCUUGCUUUUGGAAGCUAAGCAGGAUCAGUCUUGGUUAGUACUUGGAUUGGAGACUGCCAGUGGAUAUCAAAUGCUAUAGACU
rnacentral:rRNA from 11 species